rnacentral:rRNA from 1 species
UACGAAGGGGGGCUAGCGUUGUUCGGAAUUACUGGGCGUAAAGCGCGCGCAGGCGGUCUUCCAAGUCAGUGGUGAAAGCCCCGGAGCUCAACUCCGGAAUUGCCAUUGAAACUGUUAGACUUGAGGAUGAGAGAGGUGAGUGGAAUUCCCAGUGUAGAGGUGAAAAUUCGUAGAUAUUGGGAAGAACACCCGUGGCGAAGGCGGCUCUCUG